rnacentral:rRNA from 1 species
UACGAAGGGGGCUAGCGUUGCUCGGAAUCACUGGGCGUAAAGGGUGCGUAGGCGGGUCUUUAAGUCAGGGGUGAAAUCCUGGAGCUCAACUCCAGAACUGCCUUUGAUACUGAGGAUCUUGAGUUCGGGAGAGGUGAGUGGAACUGCGAGUGUAGAGGUGAAGUUCGUAGAUAUUCGCAAGAACACCAGUGGCGAAGGCGGCUCACUGGCCCGAUACUGACGCUGAGGCACGAAAGCGUGGGGAGCAAACAGG